UCAGCAGCCGCGGUAAUACGGAGGAUGCAAGCGUUAUCCGGAUUUAUUAGGUUUAAAGGGUGCGUAGGCGGUUUGCUAAGUCAGUGGUGAAAUACCGACGCUCAACGUCGGGGCUGCCAUAGAAACUGGUGAACUUGAAUCAAGAUGUAGUAUUCGGAAUGUGUGGUGUAGCGGUGAAAUGCAUAGAUAUCACACAGAACACCGAUUGCGAAGGCAGGAUACUAAACUUUGAUUGACGCUGAGGCACGAAAGCGUGGGGAUCAAACAGGAUUAGAUACCCUGGUAGUCCACGCUGUAAACGAUGAUCACUCGCUGUCGGCGAUACACAGUCGGUGGCCAAGCGAAAGCGAUAAGUGAUCCACCUGGGGAGUACGGCGGCAACGCUGAAACUCAAAGGAAUUGACGGGGGCCCGCACA
rnacentral:rRNA from 1 species